AAUAUGUUUUUGUCCCGGACUCUGUUUUGGCCGAGAUUAUUGUUCAUUUUGGGCAAGUGACCAAAGGCCUGUUCUGUAGUAGUGUAUAUGUUACAGUACUAUACUGGAGACCAAGUUUCAUAUGAACUGAACAAAACGUAAUAGGUCUUUUCAUAAAAAAAAAACGUAAUAGGUCUGGCAGGAAGCUUUACUUCAUGCAUAUCAGUUAUAUCAUAGUCAUGCAGGGGGAAUAGCAUCGCAACAUUGUAAUAAAAUUAGGAUGUAGAAGGCAGCGGGAGUAUACCUUUGCAAAGCAUUGCGGAAGCACA
rnacentral:lncRNA from 1 species